ACUCCUGACUGACCGAUAGUGAACCAGUACCGUGAGGGAAAGGCGAAAAGAACCCCGGCGAGGGGAGUGAAAAAGAACCUGAAACCGUGUACGUACAAGCAGUGGGAGCACGCUUAGGCGUGUGACUGCGUACCUUUUGUAUAAUGGGUCAGCGACUUAUAUUCUGUAGCAAGGUUAACCGAAUAGGGGAGCCGAAGGGAAACCGAGUCUUAACUGGGCGUUAAGUUGCAGGGUAUAGACCCGAAACCCGGUGAUCUAGCCAUGGGCAGGUUGAAGGUUGGGUAACACUAACUGGAGGACCGAACCGACUAAUGUUGAAAAAUUAGCGGAUGACUUGUGGCUGGGGGUGAAAGGCCAAUCAAACCGGGAGAUAGCUGGUUCUCCCCGAAAGCUAUUUAGGUAGCGCCUCGUGAAUUCAUCUCCGGGGGUAGAGCACUGUUUCGGCAAGGGGGUCAUCCCGACUUACCAACCCGAUGCAAACUGCGAAUACCGGAGAAUGUUAUCACGGGAGACACACGGCGGGUGCUAACGUCCGUCGUGAAGAGGGAAACAACCCAGACCGCCAGCUAAGGUCCCAAAGUCAUGGUUAAGUGGGAAACGAUGUGGGAAGGCCCAGACAGCCAGGAUGUUGGCUUAGAAGCAGCCAUCAUUUAAAGAAAGCGUAAUAGCUCACUGGUCGAGUCGGCCUGCGCGGAAGAUGUAACGGGGCUAAACCAUGCACCGAAGCUGCGGCAGCGACGCUGAUGCGUUGUUGGGUAGGGGAGCGUUCUGUAAGCCUGCGAAGGUGUGCUGUGAGG
rnacentral:rRNA from 1 species